rnacentral:rRNA from 1 species
UACGUAGGGUCCGAGCGUUGUCCGGAAUUAUUGGGCGUAAAGGGCUCGUAGGCGGUCCGUCACGUCGGGAGUGAAAACUCGGAGCUCAACUCCGAGCCUGCUUCCGAUACGGGCAGACUAGAGGUAGGCAGGGGAGAGCGGAACUCCUGGUGUAGCGGUGGAAUGCGCAGAUAUCAGGAGGAACACCUGCGGCGAAGGCGGGUAGCUGGGCCGACACUGACGCUGAGGCACGAAAGCGUGGGUAGCAAACAGG